ACACGACUACAUUAGAUACCCGCGUAGUCCCAGCUGUAAACGAUGCAGACUAGGUGUUUGGACGGCCACGUGCCGUUCUAGUGCCGCAGGGAAGCUGUUAAGUCUGCCGCCUGGGGAGUACGAUCGCAAGAUUGAAACUUAAAGGAAUUGGCGGGGGAGCACCACAAGGGGUGAAGCUUGCGGUUUAAUUGGAUUCAACGCCGGAAAUCUUACCGGGACCGACAGCAACAUGAAGGCCAAGCUGAAGACUUUGCCGGAUUAGCUG
rnacentral:rRNA from 1 species